GACGAACGCUGGCGGCGUGCCUAAUACAUGCAAGUUGAGCGCUGAAGGUUGGUACUUGUACCAAUUGUGUGAGCAGCGAACGGGUGAGUAACGCGUGGGUAAUCUGCCUUUGAUCGGGGGACAACAUUUGGAAACCAAUGCUAAUACCGCAUAAAAACUUUAAACACAAGGUUUAAGUUUGAAAGAUGCAUUUGCAUCACCCAACGAUGAUCCCGCGUUUUAUUAGCUAGUUGGUGAGGUAAACGCCCACCAAAGCGAUGAUACAUAGCCGACCUGAGAAGGUGGACGGCCAAAAUGGGAACGAGGCACGGCCCAAGCUCCUACGGGAAGCAGCAGUAGGGGAUCUUUGGAAAUGGAGGAAAGGCUGGACGAACAACGCCGGGUGGGUGAAGAAAGGUUUCGGGUCGUAAAACUCCGUUGGUAGGGAAGAAAGUUGGGGAGAGUGAAAAGCUCAUCUAGUGACGGUACCUACACAGAAAGCGACGGCUAACUACGUG
rnacentral:rRNA from 1 species